rnacentral:sRNA from 1 species
AGCACAGUUAGGAACUGCAGACAGGACUGAAGGGUAGUAUUUGCUGUUCAACCCAGGAGUUAGAGCAGGGGACAGGGCAGGAGGGAACCUCCUAACAAUAAUCAGACCCACACCUUUCUCCCUAGCCCUCGAUAGCCCCAGUGUUGUUACCACCAACAGAGAGAACCAUGGUGGGUUCUUUUCUGACUCUGUGUCUGAAUGGAUUUGUGGAACACUGCAUGUUUAUGUACAGUGUGCAGAAGAUGGAUGGACAUGGAUGAGCCAACCUGGGCCUGGAGUGUGGAGACAAGACUUGGAUGAGGACACCUCAUGGAAUUGAGCCCCGAAAUUUAAGUGUCUAGGCUCGGGUGGAGAGCUACUGUCAGGACCAGAGAACUUAUCCUCCUCCACCUGCGAGAUCUCCACAGUGAAUUCACCCUGCAGAUGGGAGGCCAGUACCACCCUGGAACACGGGAAGCAGUUAUAGGAAGAGAGACAGGCCAUCCUUUCAGCCGCUGACUCUCCCCGAAUAUGCCCACCUGAUGUCGGCUGGAUAGGUUCACAGGAAAGUUGGCAGGGUCCCCAGGAAGCAGCAGAGCUUGUAAAAGCUGCACAUGGUUGGUUCCGAUGGGGCAGAACCACAUACAUAGUCACAAAUACACAUCAUCUGAGGUUUAACUGCAGCACCUCUUUUAACUAAACACACAUUUAGUUGUGGGACUUCUUGGUGUUUGUGAAUAGUGAGCAGGUAGGGCAGCCAUGUGGUUCCCCCAACCUUAACUGCCAAGCGCCCGGUGGAAACCUCAGGUGAGCCUUGUGCCCCACAUCCCUGACAGGGUAAGGCUGGUCUUGGCUUGCUUCCUGGGGACCACCUGCCAUCUCCAUGCAAGUUGCAGUUGCUCCCCUAAAUGUGCUUGGUGGCGGACAAUCAGAAGCAAUGUGGCACACUCUCGGGGGUGUUGAGUUUGGCACAGGAGUGGAAUGCUCUAGGGGCCACAAGGAUGAGCCUCUUCAUACAGCGCUCCCACACAUGGCCCACCCUGAUCUGCUGAGCUUAGCAGGAACACAGAGCCCAGCCCCUCUGCAUGUCUGCAGAGACAUGCCUAGAGAGAGGCCAAAGGAUGGGGCUUCUGUCAUAGACUCAGUCUUGCGUAUGCCUUCCCUUUGAACUCGCAGAAGCUGUAAUUACUCCUAUGAAGGCAGUUACUGGAAAAUUGUUAUCCUUUAGGGACAGGCACACCCCCUACCUGCUUGGGGGGCAGAGUUGUGAAGUUGUAACAUCGGACUUUAAAGAAUUCCUGACAUCCAGCCACCACACUGUGUGAAGCGAUUUGGGAAGAUGAGGAGAACUCCAGCUGCAGCUGUGACUGUGGGGUGCUCUGCUUCCUGCCUGCUCUGACUCUGGGGUUCUCAAGAUCCUCCCCCAAACACCUUAGGAAU